rnacentral:rRNA from 1 species
GAUGAACGCUGGCGGCGUGCCUAAUACAUGCAAGUCGAGCGAACAGACGAGGAGCUUGCUCCUCUGACGUUAGCGGCGGACGGGUGAGUAACACGUGGAUAACCUACCUAUAAGACUGGGAUAACUUCGGGAAACCGGAGCUAAUACCGGAUAAUAUAUUGAACCGCAUGGUUCAAUAGUGAAAGACGGUUUUGCUGUUACUUAUAGAUGGUUCCGCGCCGCAUUAGCUAGUUGGUAAGGUAACGGCUUACCAAGGCGACGAUGCGUAGCCGACCUGAGAGGGUGAUCGGCCAAACUGGAACUGAGACACGGUCCAGACUCCUACGGGAGGCAGCAGUAGGGAAUCUUCCGCAAUGGGCGAAAGCCUGACGGAGCAACGCCGCGUGAGUGAUGAAGGUCUUCGGAUCGUAAAACUCUGUUAUUAGGGAAGAACAAAUGUGUAAGUAACUAUGCACGUCUUGACGGUACCUAAUCAGAAAGCCACGGCUAACUACGUG